UACGUAGGGGGCAAGCGUUGUCCGGAUUUAUUGGGCGUAAAGAGCGUGUAGGCGGCCAGACAGGUCCGUUGUGAAAACUGGAGGCUUAACCUUCAGACGUCGAUGGAAACCGUCUGGCUAGAGUCCGGAAGAGGUGAGUGGAAUUCCGAGUGUAGAGGUGAAAUUCGUAGAUAUUCGGAGGAACACCAGUGGCGAAGGCGGCUCACUGGUCCAUUACUGACGCUGAGGUGCGAAAGCGUGGGGAGCAAACAGG
rnacentral:rRNA from 1 species